AGUCGAACGCGUUGGCCCAAUUGAUUGAUGGUGCUUGCACCUGAUUGAUUUUGGUCGCCAACGAGUGGCGGACGGGUGAGUAACACGUAGGUAACCUGCCCAGAAGCGGGGGACAACAUUUGGAAACAGAUGCUAAUACCGCAUAACAACGUUGUUCGCAUGAACAACGCUUAAAAGAUGGCUUCUCGCUAUCACUUCUGGAUGGACCUGCGGUGCAUUAGCUUGUUGGUGGGGUAACGGCCUACCAAGGCGAUGAUGCAUAGCCGAGUUGAGAGACUGAUCGGCCACAAUGGGACUGAGACACGGCCCAUACUCCUACGGGAGGCAGCAGUAGGGAAUCUUCCACAAUGGGCGCAAGCCUGAUGGAGCAACACCGCGUGAGUGAAGAAGGGUUUCGGCUCGUAAAGCUCUGUUGUUAAAGAAGAACACGUAUGAGAGUAACUGUUCAUACGUUGACGGUAUUUAACCAGAAAGUCACGGCUAACUACGUGCCAGCAGCCGCGGUAAUACGUAGGUGGCAAGCGUUAUCCGGAUUUAUUGGGCGUAAAGAGAGUGCAGGCGGUUUUCUAAGUCUGAUGUGAAAGCCUUCGGCUUAACCGGAGAAGUGCAUCGGAAACUGGAUAACUUGAGUGCAGAAGAGGGUAGUGGAACUCCAUGUGUAGCGGUGGAAUG
rnacentral:rRNA from 2 species